rnacentral:rRNA from 1 species
UUUAACCUACGGGGGGCAGCAGCGAGGAAUAUUGGUCAAUGGCCGGAAGGCUGAACCAGGCACGUCGCGUGAGGGACGACUGCCCUAUGGGUUGUAAACCUCUUUUAUAAGGGAAGAAUAAAUGCUACGUGUAGCAUGAUGCCUGUACCUUAUGAAUAAGCAUCGGCUAACUCCGUGCCAGCAGCCGCGGUAAUACGGAGGAUGCGAGCGUUAUCCGGAUUUAUUGGGUUUAAAGGGUGCGUAGGCGGUUUUUUAAGUUAGUGGGUAAACGUCGGGGCUU